UACGGGGGGAGCAAGCGUUGUUCGGAUUUACUGGGCGUAAAGGGCGCGUAGGCGGCCAGCACAAGUCAGUUGUGAAAUCUCCGAGCUUAACUCGGAAAGGUCAACUGAUACUGUGCGGCUAGAGUGCGGAAGGGGCAACUGGAAUUCUUGGUGUAGCGGUGAAAUGCGUAGAUAUCAAGAGGAACACCUGCGGCGAAGGCGGGUCUCUGGGCAACAACUGACGCUGAGGAGCGAAAGCGUGGGGAGCGAACAGG
rnacentral:rRNA from 1 species